GGAAGCAAUAGGUAAGAAGAUGCUCACUGAAAGUAAAACAGAAGAAACAAUUGUCAUCUUUCCCUCAAUGUCACGGGAGUUCUUUGGAGACUGAGAAGAUGGCAACAACGUAGUGCUCAGAAAAACCAUGAGAAACCAUGGCUAAGGAUACCGGUCUAUCAGAAAGUUGAUAUCUGUCUACUCUUUUAUGGUAAUCUCUCUGUGUGUCUCUCUCAUGCUUCUUUGAGCUCCACCCGACCCCCAUGGCAGUCUCUUAUUGAGAACGGCUGCCCUCAGACCACGGAGAUGGAAAAGUAAUCCCACUGUAGCUCCAGGUGGGGAAAAGAAUGGAUGGUACUGUCUUCCCCCAGCUGAAAGAAAUCCUGAAUUUGUCUGAUGGCCCAAUCAGGCCCCGAGAAGAUUAAAGUGCAGCGAACAUUCAGAAGCCCUCACGAGCCAUCGUGCAAAUGCCUCUCUGCACCAGGGCUGGCUUCCUGGGUGUGUAGCCUGUGGGGUUGUUUACAGUCCUGCCCUUGGAAGAGCCCACGCUUAGUUGAAUGCUUUGCUGUCAUUGUCUUGAAAUUUUUCAGACUUUUUGAGCAUGGGGCCUGCAUUUUAUCUUGGCACUGGGCCCUACAAAUUGCCUAUCUGUUCCUCUGCAGCCUAGUUCUGAAGUAUCCUAUUGUGCCUGAAAUGUCCAAACCCCUGCCUGUGAGCCCAAAUGCUACGUGCCUGACUCUUCUAUUCCCAGGGCGGCAGGCUUGGUCAGCUGUGGAAAGAGAAAGUUUCCAUGGAGAACUGUGUGAUGUGCCUGGAAGGAAUCAUUGUAGCACGAAGAAAGAUACUGAGAAAUUCUGCACCAGGGAGAUAGUUCAGUAAAAAGAGAGGUUCACAAACAACUCCCAGGGGUCAUCCUGUUGUGUCUAGAAGAAAGAGACAAGAAAAACCGUUUCUUCCAGAUUCUUCCUUUUCAACUGAAGCCACGAGGCCCCUGGCACACACUCAGCCGAUGUUUUUUAUGUCUCCUGCUGUUUACUCUGAAUCCAUCUCGAGCUGUUGCAGAGAGGCACUACAUCAACACAAUUUAUUUCAUUACGAUGCCAUGUCAUAUCGUAUAUCUCCUGUUCACAGUAGGUUGACAAGGCAUUGCAUUUGUGUACGAGUAUAUAUGGAUACAUAUUACCACAAUCACGGGGGAAUAGUAUUUAUUGAGUGCCCACUACCUUAUUAGACGCUACAGAGAGAAUUGUGAGGGCACAUAUAACAAUUUAAUAACGGGGGGAAAAAGAUACUCUUUCUAUUUAAUUCGGCUUGCAGAAAAACAAAACAAAACCAAAAAAAGACUACUUGAUAUUUCCUCUCUGUGCCUGCUGGAUGGUGGCAAGAAAGACCUCUAAAGCACGUAGAGCUCUUAUCUUUGUUCAUUCCCCAAAGAAUAAUAGAUCAGUCAGAGCUCUGAUGCUGUUUUAAUAAUGUACAAUUCACAAUUCAUUGGUUACCAAGCACUCACGGUAUAAUU
ensembl:lncRNA